AUAAAAUUGAUAGUGAUAUAUUAUUUAUUUUUGAUAAUUGACAAUAGAACUGGUGCAAUUUUAUUGGCGGACGAUGAAUUUUUUGGUUGCGAUUGUGCUUAAAUUACCCGAUGGUGGCAACAGAGGUAGCUAGAUUAAAUGGGUUUCCUAAUAGUGCAACGAAGGUAGGUUAAAUGGGUUUCUUAAUGGUGGCAACAAAGGUGGAGGAUGAUUAUGAUAAUGAGAUCAGUUUCUU
rnacentral:lncRNA from 1 species